rnacentral:rRNA from 1 species
UACAGAGGGUGCAAGCGUUGUCCGGAUUUACUGGGCGUAAAGAGCGCGCAGGCGGCCGAGUAAGUCGAACGUGAAAUCCCCGGGCUCAACCCGGGAACUGCGUCCGAUACUGGCAGGCUUGAAUCCGGGAGAGGAUGGUGGAAUUCCCAGUGUAGAGGUGAAAUUCGUAGAUAUUGGGAAGAACACCGAUGGCGAAGGCAGCCAUCUGGACCGACACUGACGCUGAGGCGCGAAAGCGUGGGGAGCAAACAGG